rnacentral:RNase_P_RNA from 1 species
CGAGUUGGCCGGGCGGCCGCGAGGGCGCGAGCCUUCGAGGAAAGUCCGGACUCCGCAGGGCAGGGUGGUUGCUAACGGCAACCCGGGGCGACCCGCGGGACAGUGCCACAGAAAACAGACCGCCCCAGCUCCGCCGGUGCCUCUGGCGCCGGCGGGCGCGCUUGGGGUAAGGGUGAAACGGUGGUGUAAGAGACCACCAGCAUCCCGGGCGACCGGGGUGGCUCGGUAAACCCCACCCGGAGCAAGGCCAAGAGGGCACCUGCACGGUGCCUGCGCAGGCGUUCGAGGGCUGCCCGCCCGAUGCCUGCGGGUAGGCCGCUCGAGCCUGCCGGCAACGGCAGGCCUAGAUGGAUGGCCGCCACCGCGCCUCGGCGCGGGACAGGAUCCGGCUUACAAGCCAACUCGUCCG